rfam:Clostridium acidisoli DSM 12555 genome assembly, contig: EJ29DRAFT_scaffold00002.2
AGGAACCGUAUGCGGGAAAGCCGCACGUACGGAUUCUGUGAGGGGCUUAUAUUGUGAGGUGUAAGUCUACUCGAU